rnacentral:lncRNA from 1 species
GUCCUUCCUGGUCUUUUGUUAACUGAUCACCUGUCUGGGCACCAAGAAUUGACAGCUUCAACUGGAAAACUCAUUUAGGUGGAGUUCUGAGCAAGUCUGCUAAUGAUGAACUUCCUUCUUCAGUUCUUGACAGAAACCGUCUCCAGUGUUUCCAUUGCCUCAACGCAGCUCGGAGGACUUCUCUGCCCACUGUGGUCUGGCUGCCCCCCCGCUCCCGGCACCCACUCCUCCUGGAAGGGCUGCUCCUGCCAAGGUCGUCAACAACCUCCUUGCUCCAGACCAUGCCCAGCGCGCCUCCUUGGUCCGCACUGUCCUUGGCAUCCUGUCUCCGGGGACCAGCUCCCAGGCUCGGCUCCUGCCUCUGCACCGCCUCCCUCUCCAUCUCUGUUGCAGGCUCUCCUUCCCACCCCCGGCCUUGAACACAGCCCUCCUCUGCUUUUUCCCCAUCACAACGGGGCUAUUUCUCCUGUGUGUCGCAGGCACCGAAUUUCAUUAUGUCACAAGCGGAGCGAUGCCUCUCAUACCCCCACCCAUACCUGCCCAGACCUGAGAGCUGCUGUCCUAUGCUCCCCGCCCAGGAAAGCCACCAUCGUCCACAAGGGGGCUUGUCCCCUCCCCCCCCCACCAUCCCCCACAAAUCGUUGCCCAGAGCUGCCCUUGACCUUUCAGAUCCCCUCACCUCUGCCUCCUUCCAUCCACCCCGGAUGCCACGAUUCCUGCCUGGAUUCCUGGAAGUGCCCCCUCACUAGUCUCCCUUCUCUCCAACCACUUCUCCAAACCACAGACCGAAUGCUCUUUCUAAAAUGAAAAUCUUGGAGUUCCCAUGGUGGCUCAGCAGGUGAAGAACCCAACAUAGUGUCCAUGAGGAUGCGGGUUCGAUUCCUGGCCUCGCUCAGUGGGUUAAGGAGUAGGCAUUGCUGCAAGCUGCAGUGUAGGUGGCAGAUGCUGCUGAGAUGCCAUUGCUGUGGCUGUGGCUAGGCUGGCAGCUGCAGCUCCCACUGACCCCUAGCCUAGGAACUUCCAUAUGCCGCAGGUUCAGCCCUUGAAAGAAAAAAUAAAAUAAUAAAAUAAAA